UCAAUUAGGAGAGAGGGAGGACAGAGAGAAAGAGAGAGGGAGAGAGAGAGGGAGUGAGAGUAGUAGAGUAGAGUAGAGCAGUGUGACUGUGGAGCUCUAUCAGUACCAGUAUCUGUAUCUGUAGGUGGUUAACGUUAUGCUCCUCGGUUAGAGCUCGCGACGGACUGCAGGCUGCGGGAGGAGGACGCCGGUCACACGCGCGCAACUUUUGGUUUUUGGCUUUUGCUCAGAACUGAACCGACCCGACCCACAGUCUCCACCGAACCUACAGCGGAUCUCUCUCUCUCUCUCACAGAACAAUCAACACUAUGGGCUCUAAGACCGGGGCGGCUCGGCUCCGCGCGGGUUCGGUUCCGCCCGGCCCGGUUCUGCUCUCGGUGGCGCUGAUUUUACCGCUGUGCGUCGCUUUUAACCUGGAUGUGGAGAACCCGGCGGUGUACGGCGGACCCGCGGGGAGCUACUUCGGCUACUCUGUGGACUUUUAUAUGACCGAGUCUCCAAGUGUAUCAGUCAUAGUUGGAGCACCCAAGGCUAAUACCAGCCAGCCCAGGAUCCGAGAGGGGGGCUCGGUGUUCUACUGCCCGUGGAGCCGAGGCCGGGAAGACUGCAGCAGCAUAGAGUUCGACAGACAGGGAGAUCUUAACGUGACCCUGAACGAGACUGAGAUCCAGGCUGAGUUCAAGUCCCACCAGUGGUUCGGAGCGACAGUGCGGGCCCACAAAGACACGGUGUUGGCUUGUGCUCCUCUUUACUCCUGGAGAACCAAGCAGGACACGCCUGAGGCAGAUGUCACCGGCUCCUGCUAUCUGUCUGUUAGAAACUUCACCAAGUUUGUGGAAUAUGCUCCCUGCCGCACAGAGUUUCAUGGAGAAAAGGGCCAAGGUUACUGUCAAGGUGGAUUCAGUGCAGAUUUCACUAAGGAUGGGAAGGUAGUACUUGGUGGACCUGGCAGCUAUUUUUGGCAAGGACAACUGAUUUCUGCUGUGAAGGAGGAAAUCGUCAAGGCCUAUUACCCAGGGUUCUUCCUCACGUCAGUGAUGGGUCAGUUUCAGACCAAGCAAAAGAAAGAGAUCGUCUUUGACGACACUUACAUGGGUUAUUCUGUGGCAGUGGGAGAGUUCAGCGGAGAUAAUGAGGAAGACUUUGUGACAGGAGUUCCCAGAGGAGUGCGUCUCCAUGGCCAGGUGUCUAUUCUGAAUGGCUCUUUGGAGACCUUGAAAACCUUCACUGGUGAGCAGAUGGGCUCCUACUUCGGCUAUGCUGUAGCUACUACAGAUAUCAACAAUGACGGGCUGAUGGAUCUGUUGGUUGGAGCGCCCAUGUUCAUGGUACGUGAUUCGGACGGUAGAUUGGAGGAGCUGGGCCGUGUGUACGUGUACCUGCAGACCGGCCCGCUCACACUCAUACCGCAGCUACCUCACCUCACCGGCACUCAGACGUUUGGCCGCUUUGGGAGCUCCAUAGCGCCGCUUGGAGAUCUCAACCAGGAUGGCUUUAAUGACGUGGCCAUCAGCAGUCCGUUCAGUGGGAAAGAUGAGCAGGGGCAGGUCUUUAUCUAUAACGGCUAUGCUGAAGGACUCAGGGACAAACCCUCUCAGGUUCUUGCUGGACAGUGGGCGUCAAAUGCCCCUCCCGCCCCACCUGCUAGCUUUGGCUUUGCCCUGCGAGGAGGCAAAGAUCUGGACCAGAAUGGCUACCCUGACCUCAUUGUGGGAGCGUUUGGAGUUGAUAAGGCAGUUCUGUACAGAUCUCGUCCCAUAGUCAACACCAGUGCUACUUUAAGUGUGUAUCCAACCAUGAUAAACCCCGAAGAGAGGGCGUGUGCCAUUAGCAGUGGGAACCAGACCAUACACGUCUCCUGCGUCAACUUGAGCUUCUGCCUCUCAGCCAAUGGGAAGCACCUUCCAGAGACUCUAGUGUUUAAUGUGGAGGUGCAGCUGGACCGGAUGAAGCAGAAGCAGAAGGGGGCAGUCCGCAGAGCUCUGUUUCUGGACACCCAGCAGGCCAGUCUGCAGAGGAAGCUCACAGUACCCAACGAUGCCACCGUCUGCCACAAAACUGACAUCUACCUAAGGGAUGAGAAGGAGUUUCGGGAUAAGCUCUCCUCCAUCUUUAUCGCUCUCAACUUCAGUCUGGAUCCAGAGGCUGCAGCAGAUAAGCACGGCCUGCGCCCCAUCCUCAAUUACCAGACCACUGAGCUCAUCGAACAGAAGGCCCAGAUUUUACUGGACUGUGGAGAGGACAACAUCUGCGUCCCUGACCUGAAACUUUCUGUGCAUGGGGACAGGAAGGAAGUGUACAUGGGGGACGACAACGCACUGACCCUGACCUUCAAUGCCCGGAACGAUGGGGGCGGAGCUUAUGAAGCUGAGUUGCAUGUGGUGCUUCCUCCGGAGGUGGACUACAGCGGAAUCGCUCGCAAUAAUGAGAGUCUGACUCAGCUGACCUGCAGCUACGAGACCGAGAACCAAACGCGAUAUCUGAGCUGUGACCUGGGAAAUCCCAUGAAGUCUGGCACCAAUCUGUGGGCAGGCCUGCGGUUCACAGUGCCACGACUGAAGGACACUCGCAAGGUGGUGCAGUUUGAUCUACAGAUCCGCAGUAAAAACGAGAAUAACUCCCAAAGUGAGGUCGUCCCCUACAAGUUGGAUGUUGUAGUGAAGGCUGAUGUUAUUUUGCAGGGUGUGUCUCGACCAGAUAAAGUCUUCUUUCCACUUCCGAAAUGGAGGACAACCAAGAAUCUGGCCAUGGAACAGGAACUCGGGCCUCAAGUGCAGCACAUCUAUGAGUUGGUGAAUAAUGGUCCGAGUCGUGUCAGCCACACGCUCCUCCAGCUGAAGUGCCCGAUGAGGCUGCAGGGCCACAGGUUCCUGUACCCGCUGGAGGUCACCACUCAGGGGCCUGUAAACUGCACCACACACAACAUAGUCAACCCCAUGAACCUGAAGCUUCAGCAGUCCUCCACAGAGCAGCCGUCCUCCCCGAAGCAGGAGCACCACAUCGAAAAGCGAGAAACACACAAGGGAGACCUCGCAGAACUGACCAACCUGGUGAGAUCUCAAGCACACAAAUCUUACACAUCAACACAAGUGGGAGUGUGAAGAAUUACUGAUAAAAAAAAAAAAAAACUGAACACAUGAAUCACUCUUAAGUUCAUUAAUAUAUUUAUUUAUGUAUUUAUUAGUAAGGAUUGUAGUAUAGUAGGGCGUUGCAUGGAGGAGUAAGGUAAGGAGUAGAGUCAGGAGUAGAGGAAAAAAUAGAAUAGAGUAAGGAUUAGACUAGGAAGUGUAAUAGUACAGAAAAAAGUAGAAUACAGUUUGUAGUAAAGUAGGGAGUAGAGUAUAGUAAGGAGUAUAGUACAGUAGGGAGUGGAGUAAAAUAGGCAAUAGAGUAGAGCAAGGAGUAGAAUAAAGUAGGGAAUAAGUAAGGGAGUAUAGUAGAGCAGAGAGAAGAGUAAGGAGUAGAGUAGAAUGUAUGUUGGAAUGUAAAGUAACAAGUACAGUGGAAUAGAGUAGGGAGUAUAGUAGAGCAGGGAGAGGAGUAAGGAGUAGAGUAGGGUGUAUGUUAGAAAGUAGAGUAACGAGUAUAGUAGAAUAGAGUAGGGAGUAAGUUAGGGAGUAGAGUAGGCAGUAUAGUAAGGAGUAGAUUAGGGAGUACAAUAAGGACUAUAGUGAGUAUAGUAGAGUAGAUCAGGCAGUAGAAUAGAGUAAGGAGUACAAUAGAGAAGGGAAAAAGUUAGCAAGUAAGGUUGAAUAAGAAGUAUAGUUGAGUAAAGAAGGGCUGGUGUGGAAUAAACUAGAGCAUGGCAUGGAGUAGGGUAGGGAGUAGAAUAGAGUAGGGAGUAUGUUAGGAAGUAUAGUAUAGUAGAGUAGGGAGUAAAGUAAGGACUAUUGUAGAAUAGAGUAAGGAGUAUAGUAGAAUAUAGUAGGGAGUAGAGUAAGACGUAUGGUAGAGUAUGGAGUAUAGUAGAACAGAGUAGGGAGCAGAGUAAGGGGUAUAGUAGAAUAGUGACCUGGAGUACAGUAAGGAGAUGAGUUGAGUACACUAGAAUUGAGGCAGUAUAAUAGAGUAAGGAAAGGUUAGUUAGUAUAGUAGGGAGUAUAGUAAGAAGUAUAGUUGAGUGGAAAAGGGCUGGUGUGGAAUAAACGAGCGUGGCAUGGAGUAGGGUAGGGAGUAGAAUAGAGUAGGGAGUAUGUUAGGAAGUAUAGUAGAGGAGGGAGUAUGUUAGGAGGUAUAGUAUAGUAGAGUAAAGUAAGUACGAUUGAAGAAUAGAGUAAGGAGUAUAGUAGAACAGAGUAGGGAGCAAAGUAAGGAGUAUAGUAGAAUAGUGAUGUGGAGUACAGUAAGGAGAUAAGUUGAGUACACUAGAAUUGAGGCAGUAUAAUAGAGUAAGGAAAAGGUUAGUUAGUAUAGUAGGGAGUAGAGUAAGGAGUAAAAUAGAGUGGAACAGAAACUGGUGUGGAGUUAGAGUAGGGAGUUGAGUAUAGUAAGGUGUAUAGUGGAGUAGGGAGUAAAGUAGAGUGAGAGGUAGAAUAGAGUAGGUGUAUAGUAGGGGAUAGAGUAGAGUACGGUGGGAUGUAGAGUAGGGUACCUUACUCUAGUGAAGUAGAGUAAGGUAGGCAGUAGGGAGUAUGGUGGGGUGUAUAGGAGAGUAUAGACCUUGUAGAGGAGUACUGCCAAUAGAAUAGGAAUAGCAGAUACACAUAAACCUAUUGGCACCAUGCCUAUUAAUGGCAAGCAUUGGUUACUGGGGUAUAAACCAUGGAACUGUAUUCUUUGGAGUGAUGGAAAUUCAUCCAAUAUCCUCACCAGAAUCUGAUAGAAAACCUUCUCCAGACAGUUGAGACUCCGGCAAAAGCAGGAUGAACUAUUUUAUAAUUCUCUUGCUUUUGAAAGAAAAACAGUGAAUGAUCCGGUGUCCUAAUACUUUUGUCCAUAUAGUAUAUGCAAGGCUCUGCUAAUGUAUUGCUAUCUGUUCAGGCUCAGUGUUCUCGAGACCUGCUACCCCGGAGUGAACCCAUAAGACCUGGCCAUUAAGUCAUGUAAUGGACUGAAUCGGGUCCUGUGGGUCAGAGAUCUGCUCCGGUUGACCGGCCCGCUUGAAAGGGGCUCUGAUGGCUCUGUGUACGUCUGUGAGAUACAUCAGUUAGCUUAUUAAUUUCAGCCGUGAUUAUCCCUCCAGGGUGUCCUCGCUCUACCUUUUCCCUCGCUGUGUCAUUACCCACCACACCCAGCACCUCUCACACAGCGGCUCUGUUGUCACCGCUAACUGCUGCUAGCGCUGGUCAUCCCCCUGUACCUGAGCGGAUGAAUGGAGGCUUUUGUUCUGCAGGUCGUCAUGCUCAGUUGCCCUCGUUUAUCAUCCUGCAGUUUACGACACGCAGGGCUUUUCUGCAACCUGCUUCUAGUGUUUCUGGUGGGGAUGUGAUGUGGGGGUUAAGCCAAGCCGUAUAAACCAGCUCAGAGGUCAGCUGUAGAUACAGACCCUGGUUUGGCUGUGAUGAGCUUUGAUCCUAGAUAAUGUCAGUACUUUACAAUUGCCUAUUUACAGAUUAAACUAAUUUUUUUAAUCCUUUUUCAACUCUGAAUCUAAUAACAAAUGUAUUUAACUAUUUAAAGCAGGGGUGUCCAAACUACGGAGGUAUUUUAGAACUAGAAUGAAAGUUGGCCCGCUGUUAAGCAGGUUUUUAUAAUGUGAGAUUCAAAGUUUGAACGCUAGGUGUCAGAAACGGGCCAAAGAGUCUAAAAGCGGAGAGAGUGCGCAUUUCUAGCGCAGAAAAACGGGCCAAAGAGUAUAAAAGCGGAGAGAAAUGCGCAGAAAAACGGGCCAGAGAGUCUAAAAGCGGAGAGGGUGUGCUUUUCUAGCUGAAAAAACGGGGCAAAGAGUCUAAAAGUGGAGAGAGUGCGCAUUUCUAGCGCAGAAAAACGGGCCAAAGAGUCUAAAACACACCUAUUACUGGCACUCAGUCCUGUUACUGGAACUCACUCCUGUUACUGGUACCCAUUCACUUACUUUCUUUUUAUGUUUUGAGUAGCAAGAAUAAAAUCAACAAGAAUUUCUAGGAGUUUUUAGCAUAGAAUUAGCAAAAACAUAAAAAAUGGCUAAAUGGCGGCUAUGCUAAUAGCAUGAGGACACUGAGAAAAAUGUGUAUUUUAAAAAUAAACAAAUAAGACCUAAGAAUUAAUUUAAGUAACAUGAGUGAGUGUUAAUGUUGAUGACCUUCUCGGUUAUAGUUACAAUAAGAUCAAAUAUACAGAAAAAAACAAAUGAGGGAACUUAAUUUUGGUCUUCCUGUGGUCUUCAGAAAAAACUGCUGAUGUCACUUCCUGUUGUAGAUGUGACUUGUAGAAUGUUCCAGAUAUUGUUUAAAUGGGGUGAUGUGUUACAAUAACAGGACUGAGUAAAACCCAAGAAUACAACUAAAAUGUGUGUUUUAACUUAAAUAUUAUGGAUGUAUUGUGAAAAAAAUGUAAAGAUUUACAGAUUACAAGCAUUUUAAUAAUUAUAUUUCAUGGUAACGUUUAUAGUUAGAGAGUGGGGACUGGUAACAAAUGCUAUUUUUUCA